UUAAACGGCCGCGGUAUCCUAACCGUGCAAAGGUAGCAUAAUCACUUGUCCUUUAAAUAAGGACUGGAAUGAACGGCUAUAUGAGGACUAACCUGUCUCUUGUAUCUAACCAAUGAAACUGAUCUUCCAGUACAAAAGCUGGAAUAACACCAUAAGACGAGAAGACCCUGUGGAGCUUACUAAACAAAGCCCAUAAAAAUGCACGCCCAGUUUUUAGUUGGGGCGACUUCGGAGUACAAAAAACCCUCCGAUAAUUAUUAAGAUCAACACAUCGCCACAUUACUCGACCCAGUAGUACAACACUUACUAACUGAUUAACGAACCAAGUUACCCCAGGGAUAACAGCGCCAUCCUCUUCAAGAGUCCCUAUCGACAAGAGGGCUUACGACCUCGAUGUUGGAUCCGGACACCCAAAUAGUGCACCCGCUAUUGAUGGUUCGUUUGUUCAACGAUUAA
rnacentral:rRNA from 1 species